UACAGAGGUCUCAAGCGUUGUUCGGAUUCAUUGGGCGUAAAGGGUGCGUAGGCGGCGCGGUAAGUCGGGUGUGAAAUCUCGGAGCUUAACUCCGAAACUGCAUUCGAUACUGCCGUGCUUGAGGACUGGAGAGGAGACUGGAAUUUACGGUGUAGCGGUGAAAUGCGUAGAUAUCGUCAAGAACACCGAUAGCGAAGGCAGCUUACUGGGCUGUAACUGACGCUGAUGCACGAAAGUGUGGGGAUCAAACAGG
rnacentral:rRNA from 1 species